rnacentral:misc_RNA from 1 species
GAUGAAGAACGCAGCGAAAUGCGAUACGUAAUGUGAAUUGCAAAUUCAGUGAAUCAUCGAAUCUUUGAACGCACAUUGCGCCCGCCAGUAUUCUGGCGGGCAUGCCUGUUCGAGCGUCAUUUCAACCCUCAAGCACAGCUUGGUGUUGGGACUCGCGUUAAUUCGCGUUCCCCAAAUUGAUUGGCGGUCACGUCGAGCUUCCAUAGCGUAGUAGUAAAACCCUCGUUACUGGUAAUCGUCGCGGCCACGCCGUUAAACCCCAACUUCUGAAUGUUGACCUCGGAUCAGGUAGGAAUACCCGCUGAACUUAAGCAUAUCAAUAAGCGGAGGA